rnacentral:rRNA from 1 species
ACUCCUACGGGAGGCAGCAGUAGGGAAUCUUCCACAAUGGGCGCAAGCCUGAUGGAGCAACACCGCGUGAGUGAAGAAGGGUUUCGGCUCGUAAAGCUCUGUUGUUAAAGAAGAACACGUAUGAGAGUAACUGUUCAUACGUUGACGGUAUUUAACCAGAAAGUCACGGCUAACUACGUGCCAGCAGCCGCGGUAAUACGUAGGUGGCAAGCGUUAUCCGGAUUUAUUGGGCGUAAAGAGAGUGCAGGCGGUUUUCUAAGUCUGAUGUGAAAGCCUUCGGCUUAACCGGAGAAGUGCAUCGGAAACUGGAUAACUUGAGUGCAGAAGAGGGUAGUGGAACUCCAUGUGUAGCGGUGGAAUGCGUAGAUAUAUGGAAGAACACCAGUGGCGAAGGCGGCUACCUGGUCUGCAACUGACGCUGACGACGCGAAAGCGUGGG